rnacentral:rRNA from 1 species
AUUGAACGCUGGCGGCAGGCCUAACACAUGCAAGUCGAACGGUAACAGGAAGCAGCUUGCUGCUUUGCUGACGAGUGGCGGACGGGUGAGUAAUGUCUGGGAAACUGCCUGAUGGAGGGGGAUAACUACUGGAAACGGUAGCUAAUACCGCAUAACGUCGCAAGACCAAAGAGGGGGACCUUAGGGCCUCUUGCCAUCGGAUGUGCCCAGAUGGGAUUAGCUAGUAGGUGGGGUAACGGCUCACCUAGGCGACGAUCCCUAGCUGGUCUGAGAGGAUGACCAGCCACACUGGAACUGAGACACGGUCCAGACUCCUACGGGAGGCAGCAGUGGGGAAUAUUGCACAAUGGGCGCAAGCCUGAUGCAGCCAUGCCGCGUGUAUGAAGAAGGCCUUCGGGUUGUAAAGUACUUUCAGCGGGGAGGAAGGGAGUAAAGUUAAUACCUCUGCUCAUUGACGUUACCCGCAGAAGAAGCACCGGCUAACUCCGUG